rnacentral:rRNA from 1 species
GACGAACGCUGGCGGCGUGCUUAACACAUGCAAGUCGAACGGAAAGGCCCUGCUUUUGUGGGGUGCUCGAGUGGCGAACGGGUGAGUAACACGUGAUUAACCUGCCCUUGACUUUGGAAUAACUUCAGGAAACUGGGGCUAAUACCGGAUAGGAGCUCCUGCUGCAUGGUGGGGGUUGGAAAGUUUCGGCGGUUGGGGAUGGACUCGCGGCUUAUCAGCUUGUUGGUGGGGUAGUGGCUUACCAAGGCUUUGACGGGUAGCCGGCCUGAGAGGGUGACCGGCCACAUUGGGACUGAGAUACGGCCCAGACUCCUACGGGAGGCAGCAGUGGGGAAUAUUGCACAAUGGGCGGAAGCCUGAUGCAGCAACGCCGCGUGCGGGAUGACGGCCUUCGGGUUGUAAACCGCUUUCGCCUGUGACGAAGCGUGAGUGACGGUAAUGGGUAAAGAAGCACCGGCUAACUACGUG